UACGGAGGGUGCAAGCGUUAUUCGGAAUUACUGGGCGUAAAGCGCACGUAGGUGGUUUGUUAAGCUAGCUGUGAAAUCCCCGGGCUCAACCUGGGCACUGCAGUUAGAACUGGCAAGCUAGAGUAGGGUAGAGGGGUGUGGAAUUCCAGGUGUAGCGGUGAAAUGCGUAGAUAUCUGGAGGAACAUCAGUGGCGAAGGCGGCACCCUGGACUCAUACUGACACUGAGGUGCGAAAGCGUGGGGAGCAAACAGG
rnacentral:rRNA from 1 species